UAUGGAGCUUUAGACACCAAGGCAGAUCACGUUAAAAACCCCCGAAUAAGGGAAUAAACAAGAUGAAGACUGCCCUAUGUCUUUGGUUGGGGCGACCGCGGGGCAAAAAGUACCCCCCAUGUGGAAAGGGAACACCCUUCCUAUCACCCAGAGCUACCGCUCUAAUUAUCAGAACAUCUGACCAAAAGAUCCGGCUCAAGCCGAUCAACGGACCGAGUUACCCUA
rnacentral:rRNA from 1 species